rnacentral:rRNA from 1 species
GAUCAUGGCUCAGGAUGAACGCUGGCGGCGUGCUUAACACAUGCAAGUCGAGCGAAGCACUUUGCUUUGAUUUCUUCAGGAUGAAGAGCUUAGUGACUGAGCGGCGGACGGGUGAGUAACGCGUGGGUAACCUGCCUCAUACAGGGGGGUAACAGUUAGAAAUGACUGCUAAUACCGCAUAAGGCCACAGCACCGCAUGGUGCAGGGGUAAAAACUCCGGUGGU